AGAGUUUGAUCCUGGCUCAGGACGAACGCUGGCGGCGUGCCUAAUACAUGCAAGUUGAGCGCUGAAGGUUGGUACUUGUACCGACUGGAUGAGCAGCGAACGGGUGAGUAACGCGUGGGGAAUCUGCCUUUGAGCGGGGGACAACAUUUGGAAACGAAUGCUAAUACCGCAUAAAAACUUUAAACACAAGUUUUAAGUUUGAAAGAUGCAAUUGCAUCACUCAAAGAUGAUCCCGCGUUGUAUUAGCUAGUUGGUGAGGUAAAGGCUCACCAAGGCGAUGAUACAUAGCCGACCUGAGAGGGUGAUCGGCCACAUUGGGACUGAGACACGGCCCAAACUCCUACGGGAGGCAGCAGUAGGGAAUCUUCGGCAAUGGACGAAAGUCUGACCGAGCAACGCCGCGUGAGUGAAGAAGGUUUUCGGAUCGUAAAACUCUGUUGGUAGAGAAGAACGUUGGUGAGAGUGGAAAGCUCAUCAAGUGACGGUAACUACCCAGAAAGGGACGGCUAACUACGUGCCAGCAGCCGCGGUAAUACGUAGGUCCCGAGCGUUGUCCGGAUUUAUUGGGCGUAAAGCGAGCGCAGGUGGUUUAUUAAGUCUGGUGUAAAAGGCAGUGGCUCAGCCAUUGUAUGCAUUGGAAACUGGUAGACUUGAGUGCAGGAGAGGAGAGUGGAAUUCCAUGUGUAGCGGUGAAAUGCGUAGAUAUAUGGAGGAACACCGGUGGCGAAAGCGGCUCUCUGGCCUGUAACUGACACUGAGGCUCGAAAGCGUGGGGAGCAAACAGGAUUAGAUACCCUGGUAGUCCACGCCGUAAACGAUGAGUGCUAGAUGUAGGGAGCUAUAAGUUCUCUGUAUCGCAGCUAACGCAAUAAGCACUCCGCCUGGGGAGUACGACCGCAAGGUUGAAACUCAAAGGAAUUGACGG
rnacentral:rRNA from 1 species